rnacentral:rRNA from 1 species
GGGUUGUGAGGUUAAGCGACUAAGCGUACACGGUGGAUGCCCUGGCAGUCAGAGGCGAUGAAGGACGUGCUAAUCUGCGAUAAGCGUCGGUAAGGUGAUAUGAACCGUUAUAACCGGCGAUUUCCGAAUGGGGAAACCCAGUGUGAUUCGUCACACUAUCAUUAACUGAAUCCAUAGGUUAAUGAGGCGAACCGGGGGAACUGAAACAUCUAAGUACCCCGAGGAAAAGAAAUCAACCGAGAUUCCCCCAGUAGCGGCGAGCGAACGGGGAGGAGCCC